rnacentral:rRNA from 1 species
GUCCUGGCCCUAAACGGUGCACGUUUGCUGUAAGAGGAAUCGACCCCUUUGUGGCGAAGCUAACGCGUUAAACGUGCCGCCUGGGAAGUACGGCCGCAAGGUUAAACUCAAAGAAAUUGACGGGGCCUGCACAAGCGGUGGAGUAUGUGGCUUAAUUCGAUGCAACGCGAAGAACCUUACCUGGCCUUGACAUGCACAUAGUAGAAGCCUGAAAGGGUGACGAGGUAGCAAUACCAGUGUGCACAGGUGCUGCAUGGCUGUCGU